UACGUAGGGCGCAAGCGUUGUCCGGAAUUAUUGGGCGUAAAGAGCUCGUAGGCGGUUUGUCGCGUCUGCUGUGAAAACCUAAGGCUCAACCUUGGGCUUGCAGUGGGUACGGGCAGACUAGAGUGCGGGAGGGGUGACUGGAAUUCCUGGUGUAGCGGUGGAAUGCGCAGAUAUCAGGAGGAACACCGAUGGCGAAGGCAGGUCACUGGGCCGCAACUGACGCUGAGGAGCGAAAGCAUGGGGAGCGAACAGG
rnacentral:rRNA from 1 species